rnacentral:lncRNA from 1 species
AUGAGCGCGGUCCUCAUGGUGCUUUUCCCUUGCCACGGUCCAUUUCUGGUCCUGGAUCCAACACAAACAAACACACAAUCACAAGGUUAGAUUACAAAACAAGAAUCAAAUCACAUUGCAUGGUCGGAUUCAAUCUAGUCAAGAACAAUCAUCAAAAAUGUCAAAUCUGACCCCUUUAAAAAGAGAUCCAAAUACCAAAUAAAAUUCAUGAAA